GACGAACGCUGGCGGCGUGCCUAAUACAUGCAAGUAGAACGCAGUUGCGAACGGGUGAGUAACGCGUAGGUAACUGCCUCAUAGCGGGGGCUAACUAUUGGAAACGAUAACUAAUACCGCAUACUGUGAGAUGGACCGGCGUUGUAUUAGCUAGUUGGUGAGGCAAAGGCUCACCAAGGUGACGAUACAUAGCCGACCUGGGAGGGUGUUCCGCCACUCUGGGACUGAAGCACGGCCCAGAAUCCCUCGGGAGGCAGCAGUAGGGAAUCUUCGGCAAUGGGCGGAAGGCUGACCGCGGAACGCCGCGUGAUUGAAGAAGGUUUUCGGGUCGUAAAGCUCUGUUGUUAGAGAAGCGGUACCUAACCAGAAAGGGACGGCUAACUACGUGCCAGCAGCCGCGGUAAUAC
rnacentral:rRNA from 1 species